AUUGUCUGUCUUUGAUAAUUCUAGUUUUACAGCAAAACAUCUAAUCAUGUCAAAAAAUUUGCCAGUACAUCCUCUUCCUUCCCUAUAUAUUAACAUUGCUCGACUUCCGAUCAGUAACCUUAGCUCAGAUGAAAAAAGCUACUUCAUUAGUUACAUCUUUUAAAAUUUCAUGUUACCAUUAUUCAUGUUGGAGAAAAAGAGAAGCAGCAAAUUCGUGAAUAGUUUGCAGAUGCUCUUGAGUUAAGUCUUACAUCAUACACACGAAAAGCUUCCUCCUACUGCGGUAGACGGAACAAAUUUUUCGGAUGACAAAAAUCACUUCAGAACAAAUGAGUGACAGAAAUGAUAGAAUAAACCGCACUUGCCUGUUGUUCCUCACGACAACCAAACUUGCAACGACAUCAGCAGAGAGAGCAUAAAUAGGACCAUAAGCAUGCAGAAAAUACUCCUUCCCCAGAAUAGAUGUGAAAGUGGUUCAUACCUGUAGUAGUUGUACAGAUUCAUUGAGACAAUACUGAGGAUACGAACAACAAUAAUCCUGAUAAUAGACAACACAACAAUAUCAUUUUUUAUUCACAUCUAGUCAUUGGUAAGUAUUCAUCUGCAUCUUCUUUUUCUCAUCAUUGUCACAAGCUCCACAGCAUCUAUUAACAUAACAGGCAUAAACUGCUAAUGAGCAUAUUUUGGGUUGGUUGCUAAAGAUCAUAAAUGAAUAAAUAAAUAAGAGGGGGAGAGUACCUAAAAUGAGAAUCAUAACUUCAGAAAUACAAUUUUGGGAAUGAGAUUGGGCAUCAUGUUUUAGGGACAUAACAUUCUUUAAUAUUAUUUAUGCAUUUUGUAUGCGAAAUUGGGAGGCGGGAAUCACUUCUAAGUGUAACAAGCUUAAGCUUUCGUGUCUUGAUUGUCACUGUUGACUUUAGCCCUCAAAGGAAAAAGAAAAAAAGAAGAAGUGGAAAAGGAAAAGUGAGAAGAAUAUAGUACAUUCUGAACAAAGAAAAUACCCACACAUCAAUAAAAAUAGAAAAACCAACAUAGAGAAAGGAAGAAAAGCUUCUUUCCUAUUUCUCUCCCUCUAUUUUGUUACCUCAAUUAGUUCUGAUUUUCCCCGAGAAAGAGAAAUAUCUUUGUCCUUGAUCACUCAAAGUUUAGUCAGAAAACCUUUUGCGUUAAAAUUAAUGUUUUCAUCUCUCUGUCUAAAAGAAAGAAAAUUAAGCUUCUUUCCUGCUUGUCUCACUGUAUUUUAUUGCUUCAAUUGGUUCUAAUUUGCGGUUCCGCCAGAGAAAUAUCUUUGACAUGUACUCAGAACUUUACCAGGAAACUAAUGUUGAUCUUUUCCAAAGAAUGCUUCUCUCAGUA
rnacentral:lncRNA from 1 species